CCUACGGGUGGCAGCAGUGGGGAAUAUUGGGCAAUGGGCGCAAGCCUGACCCAGCAACGCCGCGUGAAGGAAGAAGGCUUUCGGGUUGUAAACUUCUUUUAUCAGGGACGAAGCAAGUGACGGUACCUGAUGAAUAAGCCACGGCUAACUACGUGCCAGCAGCCGCGGUAAUACGUAGGCGGCAAGCGUCAUCCGGAUCUACUGGGUGUAAAGGGCGUGUAGGCGGGAGUGCAAGUCAGAUGUGAAAACUAUGGGCUCAACCCAUAGCCUGCAUUGGAAACGGUACUUCUUGAGUGCAGGAGAGGCAAUCGGAAUUCCGGGUGUAGCGGUGAAAUGCGUAGAUAUAAGGAGGAACACCAGUGGCGAAGGCGGAUUGCUGGACAGCAACUGACGCUGAGGCGCGAAAGCGUGGGGAGCAAACAGGAUUAGAUACCCGAGUAGUC
rnacentral:rRNA from 1 species